GAAAAUGUAACUCAGUUGGCAGAGUGUUUCUCUUUUAAAGAAAAGGUCACUGGUUCGAACCCAGUCAUUUUCA
rnacentral:tRNA from 2 species